rnacentral:rRNA from 1 species
UACAGAGGUCUCGAGCGUUGUUCGGAUUCAUUGGGCGUAAAGGGUGCGUAGGUGGCGCUGUAAGUCGGGUGUGAAAUCCUGAGGCUUAACCUCGGAACUGCAUUCGAUACUGCGGUGCUUGAGGACUGGAGAGGAGACUGGAAUUCAUGGUGUAGCAGUGAAAUGCGUAGAGAUCAUAAGGAAGACCAGUGGCGAAGGCGGGUCUCUGGACAGUUCCUGACGCUGAGGCACGAAGGCCAGGGGAGCAAACGGG